UACGUAGGGGGCAAGCGUUGUCCGGAAUCAUUGGGCGUAAAGCGCGUGUAGGCGGCCAGGCACGUCCGUUCUGAAAGCCCGAGGCUCAACCUCGGAACUGCCUUUGAUACUGCGGGUCUCGAGUCCGGGAGAGGUGAGUGGAAUUCCUAGUGUAGAGGUGAAAUGCGUAGAUAUUAGGAAGAACACCAGUGGCGAAGGCGGCUCACUGGCCCGGUACUGACGCUGAGGCGCGAAAGCGUGGGGAGCAAACAGG
rnacentral:rRNA from 1 species